GAGGGUGUAGCUCAGUGGUGGAGCAUGUGCUUAGCAUGCACGAGGUCCUGGGUUCAACCCCCAGUACCUCA
rnacentral:tRNA from 1 species